AACGCACAUUGCGCCCUAUGGUAUUCCGUAGGGCAUGCCUGUUCGAGCGUCAUUCAAACCUUCAAGCUCUGCUUGGUGUUGGGCGUCUGUCCUGCCUCACGGCGCGGACUCGCCUCAAAUCUAUUGGCGGCCGGCACGUUGGCUUCGAGCGCAGCAGAAACGCGAACUCGAGACCGGCGGAUCGGCUCCCAGAAGCUACCCCCCAUGAAUUUGACCUCGGAUCAGGUAGGGAUACCCGCUGAACUUAA
rnacentral:misc_RNA from 1 species